CUCGUAUAUCAUAUUUUUUAAUAAAAAAAAAAUUUAACCUGUGUCACAUUCUAAAAUAUAACUAUGAUGUCCCAUUUAAUGUCAUGGCUUAUAUUUUAAGGUGGCUAUCUUGGAAAAAGCCACCAUUUUGAAAUUUUGAUACACCCAGAACUUUUACCCUGCCAAAUUUGGUGCUUUUAUCAUCAAACCAACAAUUGUUUCACUGUUCUGCAAGAUUAUCUAGCUAUAGGCUUAAUAAAAAGAUAAUCAAAUCUACCAACUUACCCCAUGUUCAUUGACCAGGGUAUUGAACUUUCUCAUGGCCAGCAAUAGAAGUCUACACUGUUCUAAUAUAUCUGUCAUCUUAUUAGAGAGACUGAUCAACAUCUGGCAUUGUGUUGGUGUCGUCAGUGCUGCAAAAAUCUCUAAAAAAAAA
rnacentral:lncRNA from 1 species